AAUAUUGGACAAUGGGGGCAACCCUGAUCCAGCCAUGCCGCGUGUGUGAAGAAGGUCUUCGGAUUGUAAAGCACUUUAAGUGGGGAGGAAGGGCUUUAGGUUAAUACCCUGAAGUUUUGACGUUACCAACAGAAUAAGCACCGGCUAACUCUGUGCCAGCAGCCGCGAUACUACCGAGGGUGCAAGCGUUAAUCGGAAUUACGGGUCGUAAAGCGGGAGUAGGUGGGUCAGUAAGAUGGGUGUGAAACCCCCGGGAUUAACCUGGGAACUGCUUUCAUAACUGCUGAGCUAGAGUACGGUAGAGGGUAGUAGAAUUUCCUGUGUAGCGGUGAAAUGCGUAGAUAUAGGAAGGAACACCAGUGGCGAAGGCGACUACCUGGACUGAUACUGACACUGAGGUGCGAAAGCGUGGGGAGCAAAC
rnacentral:rRNA from 1 species